GUUGCCUGAGAGCAGAACUAUAUUUGAGAUAUGGAAACUCCUAUCUUAUAUCUAAAAAGCAUUAUUGCUACCUGUUUGAGCUCCAGUUCCGCUUCCUGGGUGAUUGGUACCAUCCUCCGCAUCGUGUAUGGACUGGGGCUCUUCCUCCUGUUCUUUCCCUGCCCCCAAAAGGAAUUUGCCCUUACAACUAACUUACAAAAGGAGAAACGCCAGGAAGCAUCAAGUGGAGCCGAGAGGGAGGAGCAGCAGGAGCAGGAAGAAAAGGGGAGCUUUGAAAGCUUACAGAGCUGGCCGGAAGGACCUGGCAGAAGUGGGGGGCCUGAUGUCCCUUUUGCAAAGCUCCCCGGGGAGGCUGUCUUGUAAGGGAUGCUUCCAUCGCUUGUCAUCUCAAGACUCCCCUGGGGAGGCGUGCAAGACAUCGUCUGCUAGAGUCCGCCUUCCAUGCGGGAAGCCUGUGGAAGGUGGUCCUCUCACCACGACUCCAGCACUUUCCCUGUCUCUUCUGACCCAGCGCACUCUACCUUUGGCCUCCACUCUGCCAGUAGAACCUCCAUCGGCCUUGACCAGAACUCCCCUAGGCCCUGUUGCCACGAACUCAGCUCCAGCUCACUCCUGUUGGCCGUUUCCCAACUCAGGCCACGGCCACAUGAGCUGUCGCAUUGAGUUCCUCUCCUGGUGGAACAUGAUCAAGGUCUUGUUCUUCCCCAGGUCAUCACACUUCAAGUCCCAGCAAGGGCACCUGUCCUGCCACCGACCAGUGGCCUCAUUCUGGGGAGGCCCCACAAAUAGGGAGGGAGAGACUGAUAGCCCCUCAGUUGCCAACCCUGAUGUCUGGAAGCUGCUCGAGACAGAAAUCACGGAAAGAAUACAAACGGAGGUCUGGUAAAAAGAAGAACAAGAUGAUCCAGGCACUCCUCAGAUGCUCGAAGCACACAGUAUCAUGUCUGGGCUGAAUUUCCGCUGGGGUCUACCCCUCCUGUCCUUGGGGCCUGCAGAUCUGAAAGCAUGUGAGGCUCAACCCUCGGUCCUUCCACGGCCCCCUUUGCCCCCCGCAGCCACCUGUGAUUCUGGGGCCCCCUCGAAAGCUGACUUUGCACACUUCAUUGGAAAACCUCUUGAGACUCCUCCGGGUGACAAAGUCUUAACUUUGACAACAAAAGCCUCAGUUCCCAGCCUGGCCCCUCCCCUCCCUGCUCCCUCACCUGUGUGUGAGGAAAAUCAGAAGGCCCUGGGAGGGACCCUACCUGGCGAUGGCAGUGGGCCCUCAGAAGCCUCUCUCUUUGGACAGGAGGGCCGGCCGCCUUCUCCAACCUUCCCAUUCAGCCUCUCAGAGAGAAAAGGGCAGAGUGGGACCUUCGUGGGAGCUGAGCAAGGCCAUCUAGAGCUGAGUUCAGGGUCCCCAGUGGCCAGGAAUGAGCCUCGGGAGGAGAGUAGGGGUGGGGCCUCACCAGAGCCCUGCCGUGGGGUGGCAACACUGGAGGGGGAGUCAGGGUCCCAGUCUUGGAGCCAGGUCGGGGUAAUAGGAGACACCCUCGG
rnacentral:lncRNA from 1 species